rnacentral:ribozyme from 11 species
AAAACGGAAGACACAAUGAAGAAAAGGAUCGAAAAUACCGAAAAGGACAUUGCCUUUCUUUCUCCUCCUGCCUUUGCUUCCUUUUUUAAUACCUUUCUUCCUUCUGUUUCUUAUAGCUUUAUUCGAGUUGAACAAACAGUAGUCAGGGACGACAGAGAACAAAAGAGAGCACAUGAAAGAAA